GACAGAGGUGCCGAGCGUUAGGCGGAAUCACUGGGCUUAAAGCGUGUGUAGGCGGGCGAUCAAGUACCUUGUGAAAUCCCACGGCUCAACCGUGGAACCGCUGGGUAUACUGGUUGUCUUGAGCCGGCUAGGGGCGAGCGGAACAGACGGUGGAGCGGUGAAAUGCGUAGAUAUCGGAAGGAACACCGGUGGCGAAAGCGGCGCGCUGGACCUCUUCUGACGCUGAGGCGCGAAAGCCAGGGGAGCAAACGGG
rnacentral:rRNA from 1 species